rnacentral:lncRNA from 1 species
CGCUCUACCAUUGAGCUACGACCCUAGACUGGAAUGUGGCUUUUGAGUUUUUAUGGCUAUAGGAGAAAAAAAAUACGAGGACCAUGUGCUGAGCAUCUCGUUUUCUUCUCCACUAAAAGCCUGUGUGAGGCGGGGCUAAGACCUGCUUAAUCUACUUCCUAAAGAUAUGAAAAAAAAAAAAAAAGAAGGUCUCCUUGUAGAGUUGGCCUAUUCCUUGCUGGGGCAGGAAGGUACUUGGUGAACCCAGAGCACUUAUUGUUGCAGAAAAUGAUGAAACUUUACAAGAUUCAUGAAAGAUUGAGUAAGUCUAUUUCACUUAUUUUUCAAUCAUGUUCAUAUUGUCUAAUUUAUUGUAUCAAAUAUGACAUUAAAAUAUGGACUUUUUAAAAAUAAAAAUGAGGGGCUGGGAUUGUAGUCCAGUGGUAGAGUACUUGUCUAGCAUGUGAGGUAAUGAAUUUGAUUCUCAGAACCACAUAUAAAUAAAUGAAUAAAAUAAAGGUCCAUCAACAUCUAAACAAUUUUUUAAAAAUAAAACUGAAGUUACCUCAAGGAUCACAAAGCCCAUGGAAAUAUUCUGGUUUCUUUUGGGGGUAAUUAAAUCCAAAGAAUUGUACACUUUUUUAAAUAAUUUCUUUUAGUUGUCAGUGGACCUUCAUUUUAUUUAGAUGUGGGGCUGAGAAUCGAAC